UGGUUAAAAAAAAAUGAAAUGUUAAAUAUGAACCUAUUUAUAAGGUCUUACGUAGAAACCCCUGAAACUCAUUGUAUUGGUCUUCCUCAUCCACGUUUUAAUCUCAUCAACAAUCACUCCCACUCCUGACGUCAUGCCCUAGUCUUCAUUAAUAGCGUGCACCAGAAGUUGGGCAUCCAACUCCACCUGAAGAGAUGAAGGAAGAAGAUGAUUCGCCAUCUUCAAAUCGAACAAGAGGGCCAUAGCUUCGACCUCCAACGCCCGAAUCCUAUUCGGUAUACACUCAGUAGCCGCAAGCACCCCCUCUCCCUUGGAGUCUCGAAUAAUUGCUCCCACACUGACCCUUUACGAUUCAGGCCGGCACGAAGCGUCGGUGUUAAGCUUAAAUAUUCCACACGACAGCGGCAACCAGACCGAUUGAUGGAUAAUGCCAGUCCGAUUACCAUUUGUCAUAGAGGUCGGGAUAGCAGAAGAUGACUUAGCUUCCUUAAAUUCAUUGAUGUAAGGCAGCACCCAUUCAGCCUUGAUCGAAACAUCGACAAUCUGAGUUUGCCGAGAUUCGCUAUUUCUAUCCAUCCACAAAGCCCAACAUCCAACACUGAAAAUUUCCAGAUUCAACCCACUCCCCUCCAUAGCCAACGGAACCAGGACGCCGUUUAAAGGCACCGCUUAGGCCAAUGUUGGUAGAAACUCAGUGGGUGGGAGAUUCAUCGUCUUCUCUCUUGUUUUCUGGCUCCAAGAUUCCUCUUUGUGAAAAUUGUGGUUUCUCUCAAGCAAAGAAAACCUUUCUCCCGUUCUUCCCAGAAUUAAUUAAGAGUGAACCCACAACUCCACCUCGUUUCUUAUCCUAGAGAAUGGGAAGCCCUCGUGACGGUGCCUAAAAGAAAUCUCAUUUUGUUGGGUUCAGAUUGUUGUGUUCGUGUGAAGAGUUCAUGACAUUGCUGUGAAUGGAGAGGAAACGUGAAGACUUGGUUCAUCAAGGGUAAGGACACAACAUAGAUGGCAGAAUUGGACGUCGCUCAAAUGGCCAACCAUCAAACUCAC